rnacentral:rRNA from 1 species
AGUGAACGCUGGCGGUAGGCCUAACACAUGCAAGUCGAACGGCAGCACAGUAAGAUCUUGCUCUUACGGGUGGCGAGUGGCGGACGGGUGAGGAAUACAUCGGAAUCUACUUUUUCGUGGGGGAUAACGUAGGGAAACUUACGCUAAUACCGCAUACGACCUACGGGUGAAAGCAGGGGAUCUUCGCACCUUGCGCGAUUGAAUGAGCCGAUGUCGGAUUAGCUAGUUGGCGGGGUAAAGGCCCACCAAGGCGACGAUCCGUAGCUGGUCUGAGAGGAUGAUCAGCCACACUGGAACUGAGACACGGUCCAGACUCCUACGGGAGGCAGCAGUGGGGAAUAUUGGACAAUGGGCGCAAGCCUGAUCCAGCCAUACCGCGUGAGUGGAGAAGGCCUUCGGGUUGUAAAGCCCUUUUGUUGGGAAAGAAAAGCAGCAGGUUAAUACCCCGCUGUUCUGACGGUACCCAAAGAAUAAGCACCGGCUAACUUCGUG